rnacentral:sRNA from 1 species
UUUGUGCUCAUUACGUCAUAAAGGACAGU